GUUCUGGAGGCUUGAAAGUCCAAGGUCAAGUGGAUGCAACUGAUGGUGUUAGAAGUGGGGUCUGAAGUAGAGCCUCUAUAAGAACCCCAGGAGUGCUGAGUGAACAAGCAAGGUAUCUGCUGGAGCUACUUGUGUCCUUUGAUCUCUCAGCAGCUGGAGAUCAUGGUUUUCAAAAGUACUGCUUCCCUUCUCAUCCAUCUCUUCUGGAAUUGGCAAAUGCCCUCAGGGGUCAAGCAACCACCAAUAACGGGUUUACUUUUCUGGGAGCUGAACUUCUGAUGUGUGGAUGGGAGGGGAGAUGGCAUAUGGCCUGGUGAAAUAGGAAUUCUUCAUUGUUUUUUCUAGCAUUCAUUUGGUUACUUCCAGUGUUUUAAAAUAAAAUAUUUGUCACAAACAAAUGAAAAAACAUUCCAU
rnacentral:lncRNA from 1 species